UGCUCACCUGCCCCUCCUCCUCUCCACCUCUCACCACGCCGUCACCACAGAGACCUAGACGACGCAUCCGAUCAGACAAGCUUGGAAAACCCCCUAGAACUCAGACAGAGUGAAGAAAUGAAGACGCCGAGAAGACAGACUGGAGGCGCAUGGAAUAAGCAAGAUAAAGUUCCAGGAGGAUAGGAUUCGGGCAUCGGUGCACAGCGGGUCUCGUCGGGUGGGAAUCCAUGGUCUGAGAUGAGAUGCUGGGAAAAGGGCUUCCCAAGCUGAGUAAAGGUCGUAAAGGAGUCACAGGGCACCAGGAAAGAUGAAUCGAAUGCCCCACCUGCAUUUAUUCUGGUGAAAUGUUUGAAUGAAGAGGAAAAUGUUCAUCCAUGUUGUCACAUAUAACAGGAUUCUCUUCCUUUUUAAGACUGAACCGUCCCGGUGUACAUAAGACAUUACGCGAAGGGAAACCGGUCAGCCACAGGACAUAUUCUACGUGAUUCUGAUCAUAUGAGGCACCUCAAGUAGCGAAGCUCUUAGACACAGGAAGCGGAAUGGUGGCUGCCAGGAACUGGGGGAGUUCCAUGCGGUGGACAAUGAUAUAAUGAUUUUCCCGUGUGAGAAAAAAGACAACUGCCUGUGCAACCUCAGACUGGUGCCACACUUGUUAUUCUUGUUAUUGACUUCGCAGCCAGUGAUGAUCUCAAAACAAUGCUGUUGACAGCACACGUCAGAAACAUUGAGAAGAGGAACAGACCCAAGCAUGAAUGAGGAUUCAUUUUCAUAUCUGGAUCUCCAAGCACUUCAGUUAAAGGUGAAGAGCCGCCUUCUCCCAGGUGUUGCAGUAGAUCAGGAGCUGCACUGUCAGAAGGGAUGGGCACCACGCGGAGACUGUCCACUCCCUGCAGUGCACAGCACGAUGAAGACUUACUGAAUUGCACCUAAACAUAUCAACAACCCACUGAUAAAGCUUGGACAUUUGUCCCCUUCAAACCUCGUGUUGAAAUUUCAUCGCCAAUGUUGGAGCCCAUCUUGGUGAAGACAGCCUGUCUGUCCACAGGGAGAACCAGGAGAAGCCCAAGUGGUCUUGACUCUGACUCGCUCCAGGCGUCUCCUGUUGAUCAAUGCCACAGUCCUCCUCCAGGAAGAAAAUGUGAAGAGUUCAAGCAUCUUUUCUGGAUCAUCCGAGGAAAACAGUUCAAGAUUUCCAAUAAUAGUAAAAACAUCAAACAGAUAUCUCAGAGGUUUCUAUGAACCAGACAAUGAAGAAUGGUAGAAUAAACCACUCCUGCCAACCCUUCAGCUAAGAAGUAGAAAAGCUGGACCAAAAAACCUGUUGGAAGACAUCAGACAGCUAACAAAGCAAAGAAACAUUGUAAGGCACAGAUCCAGGAAAAGAAAGAAACUCAGCCCAGCUUUUCUCCAGGGUCAAAUUCCAGAAGAAAAGGCUAAGAAACUGAGCAGGGCUUUAGAUUCACCCCUGUGAAGAGGACAAAUUAGAGUCUGCCAAGGAGGGAGUUUUUGGGAAAUCUGAAGAUUAUGGAGUAUGAGUGAACCAGAAAUAAAUAAUUCUGGCAAGGAUGACACCCAAUUUUAUCUCAAAUCCUGAUAGGGUAAAGAUAGCCUGGGAUUGCUAACACCUUCCAGAAAUAAAUGUAAGUCUUCUCUGAAAAAACAAUAUCCUAUAUCUCAAUUAUCUUUCCAAUUUUUCCUAUACCAUAUCUGGAAAACAAUGAAAAGUAACCAGGUUUAUGAGAAGACAAGAAAAAAAUAAGUGAUCAAAACCAAGGGAAACAACAGACAGAAAAAAUGAACCCAAAGAGGAUUCAGAUAAUGGAGAAAUCAGACAUAAAAUUUAAAAUAAUUAUUACUAAUACACUUAAGUAAUGAAAGACAAGAUGAAAAAUUUUGGCAAAGAACCUGAAAUUUUUUAAAAAUAGAAAUUAUAGAAAUGACCAAAUACAAUCAACACAAGGAAACAAUGGAUGUAUUUAAUCAUAGACACAGCUAAAGAGAAAAUUAGAUAACUUAUAGAGCAGAAGAAAAUCUCUAAACUGAAACACAGAGAAGGAAAAGGAAGAUAAAGGAAAAAGAAUAUAAGACAAGGUGAACAUAUCUAAGAUAUAAAUGGGUCCCCAGAAGAAGAGAAGAGAGAAAAUGUGGCAGAACUUCAGCAAAUACAGGACGUAUUUGAUUGCAUAGGAUCUCCAAAAAGUCUGAAAGCAUAGACAAUGUAUACAAUGUUUUCAAGGACAUUUAAUCCGUAAAAACCAAAAUAUAUCUUCAUUUUCAAGCCAAUGGAUACCCUAUAGAUUUAAGGCUAUCAACCACAAAAAGCAGUGGAAAUAAGAGCAAAAAAACAGUAUAUAAGUUAUAUCCUUUGACAAAGUAGAAAACCACUGGGAGAAAAACGAGAAUAAGUUCAUUGCCUGAUUUACAGGUAAAAAUAGGUGAUAAUAGGUGGGAAUCAAAACAUAUAAUUAAGAGUCACAAACCAAC
rnacentral:lncRNA from 1 species